rnacentral:rRNA from 1 species
AGUGAACGCUGGCGGUAGGCCUAACACAUGCAAGUCGAACGGCAGCACAGUAAGAGCUUGCUCUUACGGGUGGCGAGUGGCGGACGGGUGAGGAAUACAUCGGAAUCUACUUUUUCGUGGGGGAUAACGUAGGGAAACUUACGCUAAUACCGCAUACGACCUACGGGUGAAAGCAGGGGAUCUUCGGACCUUGCGCGAUUGAAUGAGCCGGUGUCGGAUUAGCUAGUUGGCGGGGUAAAGGCCCACCAAGGCGACGAUCCGUAGCUGGUCUGAGAGGAUGAUCGGCCACACUGGAACUGAGACACGGUCCAGACUCCUACGGGAGGCAGCAGUGGGGAAUAUUGGACAAUGGGCGCAAGCCUGAUCCAGCCAUACCGCGUGGGUGAAGAAGGCCUUCGGGUUGUAAAGCCCUUUUGUUGGGAAAGAAAAGCAGCAGGUUAAUACCCCGCUGUUCUGACGGUACCCAAUGAAUAAGCACCGGCUAACUUCGUG